rnacentral:rRNA from 1 species
CCUACGGGAGGCAGCAGUGAGGAAUAUUGGUCAAUGGGCGGAAGCCUGAACCAGCCAAGUAGCGUGCGGGAUGAAGGCCCUACGGGUCGUAAACCGCUUUUGCACGGGGAUAACACCCUCCACUUGUGGAGGUCUGCAGGUACCGUGCGAAUAAGGGCCGGCUAAUUCCGUGCCAGCAGCCGCGGUAAUACGGAAGGCCCGAGCGUUAUCCGGAUUCAUUGGGCUUAAAGGGAGCGUAGGCGGGCGUUCAAGUCAGCGGUAAAAGCGCGCGGCCCAACCGCGCCCCGCAGUUGAAACUGGACGCCUUGAGUUCACGACAGGCAGGCGGAAUUCGUGGUGUAGCGGUGAAAUGCAUAGAUAUCACGAGGAACCCCGAUUGCGAAGGCAGCCUGCCGGGGUGCGACUGACGCUGAGGCUCGAAGGUGCGGGUAUCAAACAGGAUUAGAUACCCUAGUAGUC